GGGUGAGGUGCGCGCCGUUGGCGGAGCCGAGACUCCCCGGCCGCCCAGCGCUGUUUUGCUUGCUGUUGCUUACUCAAUAAAUUCCUUUCUAUUAUUAAAGCAAUGCUCUCUGAAAAAUUAAUUAAGAGGGAGCUUAUAACAAAUUUGGUGCCGUGACUCGGAUGAAGGCAAUCUGAUUGAAAGACCUUCGGAGGGGGCGCCCCGCUGAUUUCAGCGGCCUUCGCUAGGACUACUUUCAUUCAAAUCCUUCACCGACGAACCCUAAAUUCGGCAGCAAGCAAAUAAAGCCGGCAACCCCUAGUAAUCUUUGUGCACGAAGACCGAACGAAGACUCAGGAGUGAAAACGGCUAUUCGAACUGCGGAGAAAGGAUGGACGCAUGCCAGCCGUGUGAAAGGACCAAUCCGGGAAGGUAAAUGGGAGGCAGCUCCAGGCCCUGACGACUUGAAGCUGACACUAAGACGGACUCGAUAAGUAUUUUAUAUUAUCUGUGUAUCGUGGGAAGGGGAGGAGGCCCUGUUUCAAAGGCUCCCUAGUAGGUUCCCCUGAAGAACACUGCUGCUGCCAAGAAGAACCGAUACCUUGUAGUUCGCUGCAACCGAACUGACAAGCGAGGCAGAGAAGUGAAAACGGUGGGGGACUGAGGGGCCGACAAUUUAGAUGGGCUCCAACCACCUCCUACGAUACAUGGGAGUCAGUAUCAUCGUUUUGGUCAGCUAUGGGUCUGCGCAUCCCCCAUCAGCCUUUUAAAUGGAGCUUGAUCAGAUGGAAGGAUCAAUUCGUCAUCCAGCAAACAACGACAGCGGGUGCUCCCAGUUUCCGCAUCACAUUAUGUGACCUGGUGUCAGUGCAGCCAUGCUUUAACCGAUCAGGAUUUUAUUUCUGCCCAAGUUCUAACCCAGGAAAGGGGUACUGUAAUUACCCGAACAUGUAUUAUUGUGCAUACUGGGGGUGUGAAACCAUUGCUAUGGACUGGACACUCGGGGCUGGUCGGAAUAAAUUCUUACAAGUGGGAUAUGGGCCACAAGGUUGUAACCAACAAGCAGGUCCCCGUUACAGGUGGUGAGGGCAUGGUAUAGGGUAUACAGGAACCUUCCAUGGAAAUAAAGAAAUUUGCAAGGUUCUAUAUAUAAAUAUAACAAACUUGGAUGAUACUAGCUGGGUACUAGGAAAAAUGUGAGGUGUCAGAUUUUACAAACACAGAACAGAUAGGGGAGGACUCAUACUAAU